rnacentral:SRP_RNA from 1 species
GCUGGGCAUUGUGGCGUGUGCCUGUAAUCCCAGCUACUCAGGAGGCUGAGGCAGGAGAAUUGCUUGAACUUGGGAGGCAGAGGUUGCAGUGAGCCGGAAUUGCUCCACUGCACUCUAGCCUGGGUGACAGAGUGAGACUCUGUCUCAA